UACGGAGGGGCUAGCGUUGUCCGAAGUUACUGGGCGUAAAGCGCGCGUAGGCGGGUUGGUAAGUCCGCUGUGAAAGCCCGGAGCUCAACUCCGGAGGGUCGGUGGAUACUGCCAGUCUUGAAGGUGCUAGGGGGAGAUGGAAGUUACCGGUGUAGCGGUGAAAUGCGUAGAUAUCGGUAGGAACACCAGUGGCGAAGGCGGUCUCCGUGGGGCAUUCUUGACGCUGAGGCGCGAAAGCUGGGGGAGCGAACGGG
rnacentral:rRNA from 1 species